CUUAAUUUCAACAACUUUGGAGGCUUCACACUGUCUCAAUUUUAGCAGAAAUAGGUAUUAUAAAAGUGCUUUUAGGGAAUCUGUUUAAAAAUAAAAUAAACAUAACAUUUUUUUUUUUUACAGAGCAACCAGAAAUGUUACACAGCUGCAGACUGCCAAUGCCACUCCCUCUAGAGAACAUAUGUAAUGGUUUUUGACUUCUCCCUUGAUUUAUCCUAUUUGGAUUUCAAUUUUUUCAUUACAUAGUGUUGUUUCAACAAAAAUAACAUGUAGCUUAUUAGGGGAAUUGUCUUUAUCUUUUAUGUGUCUGUGAAGGAAACAACAGAACGAGGAGUUUCACUGCCAGUCCCUCGACAGAAGCGAGAGAGUCCUCACAGGUGAAAUCCACACUCACAUCUGCCCUCUGAUGUGUUACUUUGCUGGCUUUGAGGGCUCUGGUGAGGAAUUUUGGGAAUAAGGGCAUCCUGUGAUGAAUUGUCCCAUACACUGUGUAAAAUAAUACCAGAGCAGUGGGGUAUCCACAGAACAGAUACUCUCUCCCACAUCAAUGAAUGCUGGGGAAAAUGGGAAGCUUGCUCAGGGAGAGAAGGACUUCGAGAUCUUCAUCUUCAGACAGUCUUGUGUGCCCUCUUGCCUUAAGACCCCUUAUAUAGAGUGUGGUCAUUUUGAUAUGACUGAAGUCACGGAACUGUCGAUCAUUCCAACAUCAAGGUUCGAUUCACAUGUUUGUUUACAGAAAGUAUCACAUCAGAAGUUUCAUUUUGUCACAUCACCCAAUUGAUCUGGAAAUACUGAUGAUGCAGUGAAGCCACAGCUAUGUUAAAUUAAUACACUGCUGCUCUCUGGCAUUUGUGAAUAGUCUGCCAUUAAAUUAUAAACUUAUUCCAUCUGUACUUCUAUGUCUCUAUUACUUCUUUUUCACCUUCUUUCUCCCACUGGGACAUGGCAAUAAAUGAAAAAGGAACAUGGUUCUGAAAAAUCCUCAGAUUUCCCUUUUUUAAAAAGGCCACAGAGGAUGCUUAUAAAAUUCCAAUUUUUCUUUGUUCCUGUGAGCAAACCCGUUAGUUUUGUGUUCAUGUUGAUCACAAUCAGUAAAAAAUGAAGCCUCUCUAUGGAAUACUUAAUUUGAUCUAAAUAUGUCCUAUAUUUUAAAAUAUAACUGUAUUUACAUGGUUCUAAAACGGGCAGAAGAUGGAAUACCUGUAGAAGUUGCUGGAUAUAAUAAAAAGUAAAACAAAAUACAUAAAUAUAUAAUAUAUAUUUAGUAGACAAAAGAAAUUGCAAUCAAACAGGAUACUCUGUCAACACUGAAUUCAAGCCUAGUAGGCAACUGGAUGCCUGUUUUUAGAAAAUGCUUUCUUUAGGCCCAAAUAACAUGUGCUUUCACAUUGACAUUGGCAAUCAAUACAAAAUCCAUCAAAAUGUGAAUUUACAUCGAUGUCUAGAAGCUCUUUCUCUAGGCUAAGCCAUCUUGAGAAAUUCACAAGAGCAGACACAUUAGUUCAGAAGGUCUUUUCUGUUUUUUCUGCUCUUUAAUAAUUAAAAUAAAUACUCCCAUGGAAUCAAGCAGUAAGCAGCAGGAAUAGUUGUUAAAAAGUGAAAUGGUUGGAGUACAUAUGGUAUCCCUUCCGUAUCCUAUUUGAUUCUGCUAAUCCUGCAGAUAGAGUGGAUUUUUACAGGGAGAAAAGGCAGUCAGGGGAAAUGGGCUUUCUGAAGAGGAUUUGGCACCACUCUGGGACUUAGAUGAAGGUCGGAUGUUCAGAAGAGGCCAGCAUUAAGCAGCUCCAACCAUGACACUUGUGCACAGAUUUCUCAAAGAAGUCAGCAUCUUGUAUGCAGUGCUUGUUCUGAUAAUCUUAUUUGUUUUGGUGGCAAAGCCAAAGUUAAGCCUUUCUGCAAAUCUGACUGCUGUGGCCAAUUUUGUUGACAGAAGCCCAGCUAAUGCAUAUUGAAUUGUGAUUUGGAAUGGUCAGAAAAAUGGAAAUUUUUUGUGUGUUUCAUACACAGAUUUUGAAACGUUUAUUUUCAGAGAAAACUGAUCAGAACUGAGAGCUCAUUGCAAGUUUCUUGUGUGGCCCCCUGAUGUUUAGUCAGUGCCUUCUUUUCUCUGAAGGGUAGGAAGAAAAAUGAGCAGCAUUUCACUGUUGGGUAUAAUUGUAUUCUUAUGAAGAAUCAAAUGUAAAUUGAUAUAUAAAUAGUAGAUAUUUUAAGGGAUGACCAAGAUGCAGCCAUACUCAUAUGGUGGGUGGUUUACCAUUAAUCUCAGUAGAAGCAGUAUUGAUGGUAAUUUU
rnacentral:lncRNA from 13 species